UUGGUGAGUCAAGAUAUUGUACAUGAAGUCAGGCCUAGAACCUCCUCAAGAGUAUCUCAUCCACCUGUUUGGAUGAAAGAAUAUGUGACUAUUAUGACAGCCUCCAUGCACCCUCAUUCCUUAGCCAACUAUGCAUCCUAACAAUCACUUAUCUCCCACAUACCAAGCAUAUUUGAGUGGAAUAUCCACUGACACAGAACCAAGUAGUUAUGAAGAAGCAAUCAAAGACCCCAGAUGGGUAGAAGCCAUGAAGCACGAAAUUAGUUCAUUGGAAGACAAUGGUACAUGGAGAGUAAUGAAGUUUCCUCCCAGAAAGAAUGACAUAGGGUGUAAAUGAGUUUUUAAGAUCAAGUAUAAGGCAAAUGGUGAAAUUGAUAGAUAUAAAGCCAGACUUGUAGCAAAAGGCUAUAGCCAGACUGACGGAAUUGAUUAUCAGGAGACUUUAUCACCAGUGGUAAAAAUGGUGACGGUUAGGACCAUUAUUGUUGUUGCAGCAGCAGAGAACUAGAUGAUUUAUCAAAUGGAUGUUUUUAAUGUAUUCUUGCAAGGAGAUUUGGUUGAAGAAGUGUACAUGGAUUUGCCUAAGGGAUUCAAUAAAAGGGAAUGUAGGCUUUUUAAGUCAUUAUAUGGACUUAAGCAGGCUUUAAGACAAUGGAAUGCAAAGUUGACUGAUGCAUUGUCUAAAUCAGGCUACAUUCAGAGUCAUCUGGAUUAUUCCUUGUUUACAAAAAGGAAAGGCACAUCAUUGGUGAUUGUACUUGUAUAUGUAGAUGAUUUGUUAAUCACAGGGAAUGACUCCACAUUGAUACAAGAAACCAAAUAGGUUCUGCACAAACAUUUCAAAAUCAAAGAUUUAGAUGAGCUGAGAAAUUUUCUGGGAAUAGAAUUUUGCAGAUCAGAGAAGGGAAUUGUUAUGAACCAAAGGAAAUAUGCUUUAGAGUUGGUGUCUGAAGCUGUUCUAGCAGGGGGAGACCUUCAUCUAUACCUUUGGAAUGUAUCAUGAAACUUACUAGUGCAGAGUUUUUUGAUUCUGAUGCAUUAUUCACUGAUAUAGCUAAAUAUCAAAGGUUGAUUGGGAAGUUGCUCUAUCUUACUAACACCAGACCUAACAUAGGUUUUUCAGUUCAGUGUCUGAGUCAAUUUAUGCAGAAGCCUACUAUGUCUCACUAGAAUACAACUCUGAAAGUAGUGAGAUAUAUCAAGGCUGCACCAGGUCUAGGACUACUUAUGAGUGCCGAGAAACAAACAAACCUUACUAGCUUUUGUGAUGCAGAUUGGGCUGCACGCCCCAACACAAGAAGGUCAGUGACUGGAUUUUUACUGAAGCUUUGAUAUCUUGGAAAUCAAAGAAGCAGAACACAGUUUUCAGGAGUUCUGCAGAAGCAGAAUAUAGAAGUUUGGUUACAUUGACUGCUGAGGUGGUUUGACUGACUAAAUUGUUUAAUGAAUUGGGGCUGAGCUUAGAUAAACUUGUCACCAUUCAUUGUUAUAGCAAAGACAGAUUUACAGAUAGCAGCAAAUCCCGUGUUUCAUGAGAGGACGAAGCACAUAGAAAUUGAUUGCCACUUUAUCUGGGAAAUGAUGCAACAGGGCUUGAUAAGAACAAGUUAUAUCAGCACCAAGGAUCAACAGGCUGAUUUGUUGACAAAGGCACUUGGGAGAACUCAAUAUGAUUUUCUACUUUCCAAGCUAGGUGUUUUGAAUAUCUUCAGUAGACCUAGCUUGAGGGGGAGUAUUGAAGAUGAAGGUUCAAGUAGUUAGUUAGGUUCACAAAGUUAGUUAAGGGUUAAUUAAUUGUACUUGUCAUCAUUAUAGUCGGUUAAGUUUGUUACACAAUUCUAGAAGAUUAGAAGUAGUUAGCAAGUAGUUAGUAACUAGUACAAUUGUAUAUAUAGGAGCUCUUUCUUUCUGUAAUCACAGUUUUAGUAUGCAAUACAAAAUUUCUCAAUUCUCUCUUCUCUCUUCCUAAAUUCAUCAUAUAUAUAUAUAUAUAUAUAUAUAUAUUCUAUUAUUAAAGUUACCUAAGUUUCAUAAGUGGUCCCUAAAUUAUAUUUCCUUAAAUCAAAACCAGACAAUUUAUUUUUAGCACAUAAAAAUCAUUAGACACUGACCAUUGUAUUCAAAAAUCACAAUGCUAAAAAAUUUUAAACUUGUGUAUUGUUAAGGGGAAUUUCAAUCUAUCUUAAUGAUGCUAAGGGAAUUGAAAAGCUUCUUUAAUGUAUCUAGGUUGGACACAAAUACAGUAAAAUCAAAUAUCUAUGGAGCGAAUAUGACAAGCCAAUGUGUAAAUAAUAUUUGUGAGUUGACUUGGUACCAAAAAGAGGCCUUACCUUUCAGAUAGAUAUCUCUCAAGAUAGAUAUACAUAAAUAUACAUAAUUUUUUCCGAAGUUAACGGAUGCACGUGUACACAAUCUAGAAGGGUGGGUCUGCCUCUAGCGAUGGGUGGAUCAUGUCUACGUGACACCCCAGAAAUUUUUUCGAACUAAGACUUGAACCAUCCUUCGUUGUGAGUAGGAUUUUUACCGAGCACGUCUCCGUCGACGUGCCUCUUUCAACGUGUUUUUUAAAAAUAAAAUUUAAAAAAUUAUUUCUUUUGUUCUUCUUUAAUUUAAUUAGUUUAUAAUUUUUUUUGAAAUAGAAUCCGUUUUAGCUAUAACUUUUAGUUUUAAAUUCAAAACUUAACGCUGAAGCGGGAAAAAAAGUAACUAACAACUUAAAUCAUGUUAAAAUUUAAUCAACUUGCUAAAUUCUACCUUUCUCUUAUUAUAUAAGAGACCGUUUGUGUUGAAGCAGACACGUCUCCGUCGACGUGCCUGCUUCAUCGUAUUUUUUUUUAAAAAAAAACUUAAAAUUUAUUUCUUUUUCUCUACUUUAAUUUAAUUAUUGUAUAAUUUUUUCGAAAUUAUGAAAUCAUUUUUAGCUAUGACUUUUAGUUUUAAAUUCAAGACUUCACGUUGAAGCAGGAUAAAAAGCAAUUAACUUAAAUCAUAUUAAAAUUUAUUCUACUUUCUAUAUUCUACCUAUGUCACAUAAAUUAAAUUAAAAAUAAAACUAAAAUAUUAGGCCCGUGCUAGCACGGGCACCUAUUUCUAGUAUAUAUAUAUAUAUAUAUAUAUAUAUAUAUAUGCGCAAGGACAAAGCCAUAAGUGUGUGAGGGCAUUUUUAUAUUAAUUUUAAUACGAUAUGUGGGACCUACAACGUGCUUUUCCUCAACCAUUUUUUUCUCGUUCCUGCUUUUCUCUUUCAUGUUUUGUUUCAUUUUCUAUCUUUUUAGUGGAGUAUCUAUUUUGAAACCAAUUUCAUUAUUACCUAAUUUUUAUUUUUGCUUAUCAUAAAAAUAAAAUUUUCUUUUGUCUUAUAUAUUUUAUUAAAUAAAAAAUAUAUUGUUUUUUUAAUAUUAUUGUAUCACUAAAUAAAUGCAUAAGAUAUUAAUAGUCAAACUUAAUAUUUUAAAACAUAAUUAAUAAAACAAAUUUAAUAAAAUAAACCUCUAACAAAAUACAAGUGAAUCUAUAUAUAAAAAGAAUUGUGAAAUACAUAUUAUUAAAUUAUAUAUUAAAUAUUUAAAUAUUAUUGGCAUAUAGAAAAUAUGAGUGUUACAACUAUAUUGUUGUUGUUGUUGUUAAUAAAAUAAACCUCUAACAAAAUACAGGUGAAUCUAUAUAUAAAAAGAAUUGUGAAAUACAUAUUAUUAAAUUAUAUAUUAAAUAUUUAAAUAUUAUUGGCAUAUAGAAAAUAUGAUUGUUGUUGUUGUUGUUAUUAUUAGGUAUUUGUCCAUAAAUUCUAAAUAUAUUUUUUGGUUGCAAUUGUUGGCAUUGAAGAUGAAGUUGUGUUGGUUAUAUAGUUUGUAAAGAAUAUUUAAAAUGAUGUUUUUUUAAUGUACUUAGGUAAAUUGUUAAAAGUAAAAAAUAGUCUAGAAAUAGAUUAUUAGAUGUUCAAGUUUUUUAAUAUAACUUCAAAUUGAAAAUAAAUUAUAUUUCAAAUUUUGAUGGCCAAACGUUGAUUUUAAAAUAAAUUGAAAUAUUAUUACGAAAAAAAUAAAUAUUUUUAUGUUCGAAUGGAUCCUAAAACUAGAAGUUGAAAAAUAUAUGAAACAUAAAGAUGAUUUUUUAAAGAAUGAUAAAUGAAAAAUAAAAGAAAAAGAAACAAAAAGAAUUUUAAUAGACAAUUUUCAAAAUAUAAAUAACCAUUCAAAUAAUUAAUUUCAAUUUUUUACGCUCACAACCUCUAAUUAUCUACAACAUGGGCUUGACACAUUUUAUAUAAAAUUAUCCAGCUCUAACUUAUAUAUUAAUCACAAAAAAUCCAUUGGAAAUUCACUAAUCGAAAAAGAACAACGGAUAAACUAAUCAGAUCGUCUAACUAAUUUGACACAGGUCUUCAGGAAGUUGAGAAUUUGGAUAGAGCAUUAGUAAUUCACAAGGACUAUCAAGGCUUACAUGGAGACAGCUUGGGAGGGCAGGAUGCUGUGGUGUUAGAUACGGUGGAGUUUGAGAAAGAGCCUCAUCUGCAUUUAGAAGAUGUUGAUAACAGAUACAGGUCAGACAAUAGUGAGGAGCUCCUUACUGGUUGCUCACCUGUCAAUCAAGAACAUAUGCACAAUGUUAGUAUGAUUAGUGCUGCUCAAAAUGCAAUAAUCAAGUUUUCAGGGGUAAUCAAACAAAGUUCUCCUAUCAAAGAACUUCAUGAUUUGGUUUCUCAUAAAAUUGUAGAUAAAGACAACACUUCAGUAGAGGUAACAAAUCAACAGCAAAAUGAUCUAGUAAUAAACAAGGAUGAAAAUGAAAACUACAGUGAUCAUGCACAGGUUGUAAAUAAUGCAGGAGGUUCCCCUCAAGGGAAAUCAAAGAAGAAGAAGACUAAAUCUCAAGGGGAUAAGCCUAUUAGGAUUAACCCUAUGAGGUCUGGUAGAGCUAUGUCAAAAUGAUCUUUAAAGCAUUAAUAUGGAAUAUUAGAUCAAUUAGAUCUAAACAUUCUUUCCAUAGAGUGCAAAUGCUUCAUAGACAUCACAAAUUUGAUUUGGUUGCCUUGAUGGAACCUUUUCAAGAGACUAGGCAGAUCCAACAGUAUAAAAGGAGACUAGGCAUGGCCUAUGCAAAUUAUAAUAUCAAUGGGAAGAUUUGGUUGUUUGUAAAGGAGGACAUUCAGGUGGAGGUUGUUUCAGAUUCUGAACAACAGUUGACUAUUAAGAUGUUAUUCCGUAGUGGAUAUCAGAUUGUUAGUACUCUUGUCUAUGCUAAGUGUACAACUGUUGAAAGAAUUCAAUUGUGGGAAGAUUUGUAUGUCAUUGGGCAAAAUAUGUAUUUCCCCUGGUGUGUUGGAGGGGAUUUUAAUAUUAUUAUGGAUGCCGAAGAAAAGAUAGGUGGUCUACCUGUCUAUCCUACUGAGGUGGAUGAUUUUGCAUUUUGUGUCAAUUCCUGUGAAUUAUUUGACAUUAAAUUCAAAGAUAGCCCUUUCACUUGGUGGAAUGGGAGGACGGAUGGUGAUUGUAUUUUUAAAAGAUUAGACAGGGUUGUAGGGAAUCAAGCAUUUUUGGAAGGGUUGGGUCAUGUGGAGUUAGAACAUCUAGCUAGGACAGGGUCAGAUCAUGCUCCUAUGUUGCUAUCUUGUGGAGUUAAAACUAUCCAGUUCCUCAAACCUUUUAGAUUCCUCAACUUUUGGUCUGAAAAGGAAGGGUUCAAAGACCUGAUUAGGCAAAAUUGGGUUGAUGAUCAUUCUGAUGAUGUGUUUGUUAAUUUAAAGCUCAAGAUGAAGAAGACUAAACUAGCUCUUUCUAAGUGGAGUAGAGAAAGUUUUGGGGAUAUUUUCAAACAAUUAGUUAUAAGGGAGGAUAUUCUGAAAAUCAAAGAAAAAUUGUUUGAGGAUGUUCCUUCUGAUGCUAAUAGAAUUAUCCUCAAUAGAGCUCAAGAAGAAUAUACAAAAUACUUGAAGUUUGAAGAGGAUUUCUGGACACAAAAGGCUGGGAUGCAAUGGUUCAUUGAAGGAGAUAGGAGCACUAAAUUCUUCCACAAUAUUGUAAGAGGAAGAAGAAGAUUAGAAAUAUCCAAAAUGCAUAAAGCUGAUGGUACAUGGGCUGAAGGAAGUGAAGUUGAGGGAGAGGCUGUAAAAUUCUUUCAAGAUCAAUUUUCCAGUGAUUUGCAGGAGUCUAGUCUACCCCUUGUGGAUUUAAUUCCCUCUUUGAUUAAGGAGGAAGAUAAUGCAAUGCUUAAUAGGAUUCCCUCUUCUGAGGAGGUUAGAAAGGUGGUCUUUGAACUUAAUGGAAAUAGUACAAGUGGACCUGAUGGUCUGACUGGACACUUCUAUCAAGUUUGCUGGGAUAUAGUAGGAGAUGAUGUUGUGAAGGUGGUACUUGCUUUUUUUGAUGGGAUGACUCUCCCUAAAUUCAUCACCCAUACCCACCUUGUGUUGAUUCCUAAGAAGGAGAAAGUGAUUUCAUUUGUUGAUCUAAGGCCUAUUAGUCUGAGAAACUUGAUUAAUAAUGUUAUUUCCAGAGUUGUUCAUGAUAGACUGGAAGUAUUCUUACCUACUCUUAUUUCUGCUAAUCAAUGUGGUUUUGUUAAAGGAAGAAGUAUUACAGAAAAUGUCCUACUUGCUCAGGAGAUUAUUGUGGAUAUCAGGAAGAAGAGUAAAACUACUAAUGUGGUGUUUAAACUUGACAUGGCUAAAGCAUAUGACAGGGUAGAUUAGAGCUUUUUGAUUAAAGUAUUGGAAAAAAUGGGCUUUAACACAGUAUUUAUUGAUAAAAUAUAGAGGCUGGUGGCCAACAAUUGGUAUUCUGUGUUGGUUAAUGGCCAAGCUUGUGGAUUUUUUCACUCAACUAGGGGUGUUAAACAAGGAGAUCCUUUAUCUCCUUCUUUAUUCAUUCUAACAGCUGAAGUCCUUACUAGGGCCCUUAAUAAUUUGUUCAGCUAUGCAGGGUAUCAAGGGUUUGGUCUUCCAAAGUGGAGUGAACAGAUUAAUCAUCUUGCCUAUGCUGAUGACACUAUCAUUUUUGCUAAGGCAGACAAAUUUUCUUUGAACUUGAUUAUGAGGACUUUACAAGAUUAUGAAUCCCAAUCUGGUAAAAAAUUCAAUAAAGAAAAGAGUGCAUAUUUUGUUUAUCACAAGGCAGCACAAAGUGACAUCCAGAUGAUAGAAGAGUGUAAUGGUUUUACCAAAGGUAAGUUCCCUCUAACUUAUCUUGGGUGCCCAAUUGGGCAUGGCAGGAAAAGGAAAACUCAAUUCUCUGAACUCAUUAAAAAGGUUCAAAACAAAAUUCAAGCUUGGAAAGGGAAGCUUCUGUCGUUUGAGGGUAAGUCUGUAUUGAUCACUAAUGUAUUACAGAGUGUUCCUAUAUAUCAGUCGUCUGCUAUCAUUCCUCCCAAAUGUGUCAUUCAUGAUCUUCAUAGAAUCUUUGCAAGAUUUCUAUGGAAUUUUAAGGAAGUAGGAAGAAAUAAACACUGGGUUUCCUGGAACAAUGUAUGCUUACCCAAAAAAGAAGGUGGUCUAGGAUUUAGAUCCUUAUUUGAUGUUUCAAGAGCUUUAUUUGCUAAACUAUGGUGGAAUUUUAGAACAAAAAAUACUAUGUGGUCCCAGUUUAUGUGGAAUAAAUACUGUAAAAGGCACAGACCACAAACAGUAGAGUGGAGAGGGGGUUCUCAAACCUGGAAAUAUAUGCUAGCUGCUAGAGAUUUUUUUGAUCAGGAAAUAUGGUGGCAACCAAAUGGUGGGCAUUCUAGUAUCAUGUUUGACAAUUGGACACAAUUAGGGGAUCUAUAUUACUACCUACCAGUGUCUAAUAAUAAUGAAUGGAUGCAUAGAGAUGUUGAUCAAUUAUUUCAUGAAGGGAGGUGGAAUGAAGAGCUCUUAAGGACCGUAUUCCCUGAGAAUGUUGUAAAUCAUAUUCUCAAUGAUAUUGAGAGAUUUCAGGAUUCAGAGGAAAGAGAUAUUCCUAGGUGGAUGUUAAACAACUCAGGGAAAUUCUCAAUGAAGUCUGCAUGGGACAAUAUCAGAAUCCCUGGAAUUGAGGAUGAUAGUUUUGCUAGGAUGUGAGAGAAGGGUGUACCUUUUAAAGUAUCUUUCUUUUUCUGGAGAUUAGCAAUGAAAAGGAUCCCUAUUGGUGAAGUCCUAGCCAGAUUUGAAACUGAGGAGGAGAUGGUGUGUUGCUGUUGUGAUCAGAUGGCUAAUGAAAGUUUUCAACACCUCUUUGUCUCCUGCCUUGCUGCUAAUCAAAUGUGGAGUAGUUUUACUAGAGCUGCUGGUGUAGAAGGUCCUUUUCUUCAGAUAAAGGACACAGUGUAUAAGUGGUGGAAUGCAACUUGUUCAGCUAAUCUUAGACCUCUAUUCAAUGCUAUACCUGGUCUAAUACUCUGGCAAAUUUGGAAAAAGAAGAAUAGAAUAAGACAUGGUGACAAAAUGAAUGUGCAAGGAAUGAUAAAUGGAAGUAAACAAGAACCUGCACAUGUUAGCUGUUUUUAGAUACCCUUGGCUGAGGAAUAUCCCUGAGGAUUGGCCAAAUUUGGUGCAUUUCUUUGAAGGAUAUAAACCAAUCUUAGUUCCUAAGGUCAUUCAUUGGAAACCUCCUAUGGAGGGGACCUAUAAAUGUAACUCAGAUGGAGUUUCUAAAGGAAAUCUUGGACAAAGUGCUGGUGGGUUUUGCAUCAGGGAUUGGAAAGGUGAAUUUAUAUUUGCUGCAACCUAUGAUCUUGGCAAAAGAACAGGUUUGCAGGCUGAAACUAGUGCCAUGGAGAAAGGUUUAAAUUAUUGUGUUACACAUAAUUUACUUCCUGUGUGUUUAGAGACGGAUUCACUGGUUUUGACCAAGAUUUUAAAUGGGGUAUUGGAGGUCCCUUGGAGCAUUAAAAUUCAGAUUCAGAAGAUUGAAUUUUUGAGAAACAAUAGGGAGGUUGCAGUGCUACAUACGCUCAGGGAAGGCAACAAAGUGGCAGACUACUUCACUAACUUUAUUUUUUCUUUUGCAGGUACAUAAAAUAAAACUUUCCAAUCAAUUCAAGAUGUACCAAAGGAAGGAAAAUCCUUAGUACUCAUGGAUGCAAAUCAGAUUCCAAACAUUUGAAUUACUAAAAUGCAAAAUAAACUCUAUGGUUUGUAGUUUCGAACUAUAAUCUUUGCACAAAAUGAAAUGCAAUUGCAGUAUAAGUCAAGCAGAGGAGAGAAAGGAAAUACCUAACAAAUAUACAUAGACUUUAGAUCCUAGCUUCUUAGACAGUGGUAUCAGUUCCCUCGGAGCUCAAUCUGUCAAGAGGCGAAGAUCUAAGGAAAAUGGUUUUCUACAAGGCACUGAUAUCUGGAGAAAGCUCCAAAGAAGAUAGAUCUGUACAGCAAUGUAAGGGCAAUGAAUAACAAUGUGAUAUUGAGAUUCUUGUUGAAUAAUCGAUAGGGAUGUGGGGGUUACCUCUCACACAGGAAAGGGACCAAUGUUUUGAGCUGAAGAAGUCUUCAACGGACAAGAAUACAUGGCGUUAGUGAGAUUUUUAACGUCUUGAUGUACUCUAUCCAAGCUCGAUGAUAUGAGUCUCUAGUUCCACAGUGAGUAAGGUCUAACUCCUAUCUCAUCAUUUGCACAAGGAUCUUUGAUGUAGGUCCACCAUAGCUGCCGGAGUCGAGAAGAGGUUGACGGAGGUCCACCAUUGAUGACGGAAGAUUUAGAGACAGUGGUGUCUUGACUAUAGGAGGGUUUUGUCUUUCCCCUUUUUAUUUGUUUUUUGUUUCCAUUUCUUGUUUCAGAUUUUGGAUUAGGCGUUUUGGGAC
rnacentral:lncRNA from 1 species